rnacentral:tRNA from 1 species
GCAUGGCUGGCUCAGUUGGUAGAGCACGUGACUCUUGAUCUCGGGGUUGUGAGUUCAAGCCCCACUUUGGGUG